AUGAAAUCCUCACGCUCAUUUACACGACAGAAAAGGAGAGGAUGGCAGGUUCGUCCAAAUGUCUUUUGUCGCGAACAUAACAGAACUCCCACAUCCAGCGGGCCGAGCGGCACUCUCCUCCAGCAGCAGCCGACACACUGCAUUAUGGGGGAAUGUAAAUCAUUGUCACGUUUAAGGCGCCAGUGGAUCUUUUUUGUGUGUUUGUUUGUUUGUUUUGUGUUUUUGUUUGUUUGUUUGUUUGUCUGUUUGUUUGUUUGUUUUGACGUAGAUAUGGGAUUAAAGCGGCCUGAUUGGCUGCUGAACGGACCGAGAGGAGGAAGAAGAAGAAGAGGGAGAAGAGGAGGAAGAAGAAGAAGAGGGAGAAGGAGAAGCUGUCUCUCUACACUCUCAGAUAAAGGAGCGUUCAUCCAGUGGAUUAGCAGACUUUUCUAUUCUUGGUGUCCGACCCAGUGUGAGCUCUGCCGUGUGUUCUCUGCAGUCGGCUGGUUUCAACCCUUCAGAUGACUGGAAUAAGCCGCUCGUUUGGUGUGUAAUGGUUUAUUAAUAUGAUAUACAAGCGAGGCAUUAUUACAGGUUCUGAAUGAAGUGUUAAGUAAAUAAACGCUGCUUGUGAUGUGGAUGAAGAGCGAGGGUUUGAGGGCUACCGGAGGAGCGCAGCAGCCCUUAAGCACAAUUAUGGAUAUCAAAGUUGAAAUUAUUCCUUUUAAAGGGAAAAUGCUAAUCAUAGAUUUAUUGAGAGCAAGUUAGCAGCAGCACUCAUUACCAAACACACACACUCACAUAUGUGUGCACGCUCACUUUCAGACUUUACUCUGUUGCACUCUCCUCUUUCUUCCUCCUCUCAUUUCAAAGAGAUUUAUUUUCAGAAUAAUUAAUUCCAUCACAAUUAUAGCGGCGCUUAACGUAUAUGUUGGUCAUUAUUCAGAGCUUCCUAUAAUGAGGCCGAGAGAGGAAACAAGGAAGAAAGGAUGUGUCCUCAGCUCAUGGUGUAGCGUCCUCAUUAGCUUUGUCUUCAAUUAGAGACAAUGGAGCAGUCCGGCCCUCUGAUAGCUUCAUGUUAGUCUUUAUAUACAGAAAAUGGCAUUGCUAUAAUAAAAAUGUGCUCUGAGACAUUUAAGGAAGAAAAAGACAGUAAAUGGUUCAUGAGUUUUGACUGAGUUUUGAGUUUUUUUUCAGCAGUGACAAAGUACGUUUUUGAACAGAUUACACACAAGCUUCUUUGUUAAGGGUCUUAUUUAUUUUCUUUUUUUUUCCCAAAUGACAUACAAGAAAAAUCUAAUCAAAUCAAAAAACAGAACAUUAAAUUAGGAGCAAGAAAAAGGCUACAGAAAAAAAACAUCACAGGAUUAAAUGUUAUCUAUUAUGUUUAAAAACAAGGCGGGACGAGCAGGCCUGUCAAUCAUGAGCUGCAAAAAAUCUGUUUGUCUCGUGGUCCAAAUAUUACAAUAUAAGACAAAGUUAGGGAAUCGCUACAAACUGAAGAACCAGAUAUUUUUUUCAGGAGUUGGAAACAGACAAAGGUGGAUAUUCAUUCAUCAGAUAGACAUCACCAUGUUAAAGCUGAGCUCAGUAAUCGUGCUUGUGACACGGCAGCCAAAGCAACUGUACAAGGUGACAUAUGUCAGGGUUGUUCUCGAAGUACUUCUUUUCUUCUUUGGUGAGCAAAACAUUAUUUAUGCAUUUAAAAAUUCAGAGGUCUGAAGAAUAAGAACCCACCACAAGUAACUGUUCAGUUGGCUACAUUUCAGAGCCAGUUUCUUGUCAGUUUUUACAGAUGAGCAACAGAAAGCAUCCUGACUGGAAACAUCACAAACUGUCUGGUUGACAGAACGGCUCUACAGCGGCUGAUCCAAACCACCAGAACAUCACUGGUACCAUCUACAGAGCAUCAGUGACAUCAGUGAAGUGAUAUGCACAAAGAUACAAAUGACAACACCCACCCAGACACAGUCUGUUCACCCUGCUGCCAUCUGACAACAGAUACAGAAGUAUCUGCUGCUGUAGCAGCAGGCUACACAGCAGCUUCACUCCUCAGACUGUGAGACUCCUCAACUCAUCAUCAACACCCCACACGGCCGAGGUCACACGUAUGCAAAUGCAGGCGGAUGAAAAGCUGAGUGGUCAACCACACACAACUCUUGUGUCUUUGCUAUCGGUUGUGGCCACAACGUUGCCAAUCAAAGUUCACCCAAGUUGGACUUUGGGCACCCCUGAGUCUGAUAGAGUUUGGAUUUGCAGAAAGAAAAGAUGUCAGUGACUAUAAUUGCUUAAUUCACUGCAGAAAUCUGAACUUUGAUUUGGAAGCUGUAUCACAGACACGGAGGUCCACCCCUUCAAAGCACAGAGGAGCCCUGUGAUGGGCAGUGCUGUGUUGCCUGCAGGCUAAAUGAGAUCUGAAGCAGGUUGUCCACCCGAACCAGUCACAGCCUGAGCGCGGAGAUGGAUGGUCACCAGCCACCAGGCCAAACGCCAUUGUCGGCUGCCACCACAGAAAUGGCAGCCGAGUGUGACUAAAUCAGGUUUGCUUGGCAGCCGAACGGCAGGCCUAUUUCCACCAGAGUCCCUGGAGGAGCGGGGAGAGUGAGCAAGUGAGUGAGGGAAUGCACAGCCCAGAACACACACACACACACACACACACACACACACACACACAUACAAACACUGGCAUCUGAUAGAGGAUCUCAGUCCUGCCAAAGCUCUGUAUUCACCACAAUUAGCUCCAUCCUCAGACGCUCAUCCUAAACCCACUAGUAAUGAGCCAAAUACCCGCUUUUGUUUUAAAGAAGCUCUCAUGACCCGUGUCUGUUCCAGUGCUGACAUGGCUUUUGGCUGUCUCACCCUGCACUUUGUCCUUUUGUGAACAAAAACAAUAAAAGACUGAAUAUCGAGGGCCAGAUCACACAAAUAAUCCCACUUGCAUUUUCUGUUAGAGCUGCUCCCGUUUUCUGUUGGAGCUGGAGGUGUGAUGCAGGGUACAGGCUGUAAGCGAACCGAAAAACGUCAAUUCAGUGGAAAGUUGUUCUUGUGAGCCAGUAGAUCCUGGUGCAGCAACACAAGAUGCAGCCUGAUGUGACAGACCCAGAGUUUAAUCCUCCGGACCUGCUCUGCAGGAUGUCAGGGCUCAGGUCAGGACACGUGAAACACCCGAGCCUCCUUCUGUUUGUAAGCCAGCGAAGCAGGAAGAGUAACACACAGCGGUGAGGUGAAGUCAAGGUGAGACACACAGUGCUGUAAUGAAGAGGAGCUGAAGUGAUCAAUGCUGAAAAACUGAGUUGUGCCACACACACACACACACACACACACACACACACACACACAUACACACACACAUUCAGCCAACUCUCACUGGUGUUCAGCUCUUGCCAGGCUGACUCCUGUGGUGGAGAGGCAAGAGACAGAGACCAGAGACAGGGAGGGACAGAGAGACGGGGAGGGACAGAGAGACAGGGAGAGACAGAGAGACGGGGAGAGACAGAGAGACGGGGAGGGACAGAGAGACGGGAGAGACAGAGAGACGGGGAGAGACAGAGAGACGGGGAGAGACAGAGAGAGGGACAGACGGGGAGGGACAGAGAGACGGGAGAGACAGAGAGACGGGGAGAGACAGAGAGACGGGGAGAGACAGAGAGACGGGGAGAGAUAGAGAGACAGGGAGGGACAGAGAGACAGGGAGGGACAGAGAGACAGGGAGGGACAGAGAGACAGGGAGAGACAGAGAGAUUUUCACAU
ensembl:lncRNA